UGUGGGGAGAGGGCCAGGGAGCCAGCCUCCCUCCGGCCUCCAGCAGAAGCAGCCCGCGGUGAGGAGGAGCCGUCGAGGCCACACGGGGUGGAGCCACCUGCCAACCCGCGCGGGGUCUGCUGCCUCGCGGAACCCGCCUCGCGUGGGGACCGGUCCAGGGGUCCCCCACCUCCAGCAGGCAGCCGACGACCCCGCCCGGGGGGAGACCCGCUCAGGGAGGCCGCCUGCUGGGUUCUGAGAGGGGCCUGGGUCCCCUGCGGCGGAGACCCCGUGACCCCGGUUCUGGUGGCAAAAGGCGAGGCCGGAGCAACCCGGAGUGCACGUUAAAUAAAGGUUCACACAGACACACACACACACGCGAGCCCGCAUGGGCCUUGUCACUAAGGGGAGGGGGCCUGGGGCGCACGCAGCAACCACGCCCCAGCUCUGGCCCCUCUGCGGUGUCUGUGCGAGGACCGCACCGUGGUGACCCCGAGGUCCUGAGAACAGGUGCGGCAUCGCCACAGCGCGGGUGUGCCGGCUGCCCAGGGCGCGCGCGGGGUUCGCCGCGAGAACCACGCGGGACUUCCGGCCAACUGCUCACAAAUAAGGACCAUCUGGGCCACGGACCGGGCUUUGCAAUCAGUGGGCACACCCGCCCCUGAGCUGGCCCCUGCCCCCCGCCCCGUCCUGCUCCCUCGCUUCCCGAAUCUAGUCACAAGGCGGUGACCGCCGUGGACCUGGGCGCUGUGUCUUCAAGCCAACACGGUCCCGUUUCUGACCGUCCUGGUUGCCAUACCAGGAGCCCUGGGAGAGGAUGAAUUCCUGUGGAGUUCCGGAUGACGGACAACCAGACACGGUGGUCCAGGAGGGUCCAUAUCGCGCCUGGAUACUGGGAGACAGGGAAGCGUUGGAGGGCCAGACCUGGGCUGAAUCAGCACUCCCCAGGCGCUCUAUCGCCUGGCAAGGACAGCAGCCCUGUCCCUACAGCUCUUAAACUGCUUUCUACCCAAGAUAAUCCCAAGAUCUCUACCUUGAUCACGUCUGCAAAGAAAGGCCCUAUUCCCGAUACGGUCACAUCAGUUGUCCCGAGCGGACAUAUCCUCUUGGGGGGCCACAAUCUAACCCGUUACAGGGCAUCAACCGGUCAGCCUGAGGCCUACCUGGGAGCCUCUCCUGAACCCCAGACCCACUGCCCCCCACGUGCAAGCGGCCAGAACCCCACCCCCAGGCCCCCUGAGGCCCUGGCCCCCAUCCACCCAACCCCAUCUGCCUCUCUCCGGUGAGAGGCCCCUGCCGUAGAGCUGGGGCGCAACUCUCUCAGAGAAUUAUUCUCUUUGUAAACAUCUUGCCGUUCUCUGGAGUCUGGAGGUGUCUGGGGGGAGCAGGCACGUGUGUGUCCAGGUCCCCGCCCGGCCCCACCCUACCUAUGCUUCCUCCUGCCUGCCCUUGAACCUGCCUUUCCAAACAGACUUCUGGAACAGUGUUCAAUCGGAAAAACGGCUAUUUCCAGAGGGUGGGGUUUAGGACCUUUUUCGAUUUCUCCCCUGUCCUUUGUAUGGCUUUGAUUUCUUUGGGUAAGACUGGACGGCUCCUACAAAAACAAAAUGGUAACUCUUUAAAAACUGGGAUGCUUUUUUUUUAACCUAUAAGCUUACCAAGGCCAUAGAAGUGGAAGCCCUCGGUGUCGAAAACACUGUAGGAAGUAGGCCCCUCUUACUGUGUUGGAGUCUUUCUCGUGGUUUAGAAACCUUUGAAAACAGGAAGCCUGUGUGACCAAAGCACCCAUGGAAAAGUUAGCCCAAGAAAUGAUUAGGAGGGUGCACCGAGAUUUAUAAAGAUUUACAUGGA